rnacentral:misc_RNA from 1 species
GGUUUGCGUGAGGGAUGGCAGUGGAGCUCUCCCGAUUUUUCAUCGGGAAGCGGGAACGUACAGCCCGACCCUUG